rnacentral:rRNA from 1 species
CAGUAGCCGCGGUAAAACGUAGGUGGCAAGCGUUGUCCGGAAUUAUUGGGCGUAAAGGGCUCGCAGGCGGUUUCUUAAGUCUGAUGUGAAAGCCCCCGGCUCAACCGGGGAGGGUCAUUGGAAACUGGGAAACUUGAGUGCAGAAGAGGAGAGUGGAAUUCCACGUGUAGCGGUGAAAUGCGUAGAGAUGUGGAGGAACACCAGUGGCGAAGGCGACUCUCUGGUCUGUAACUGACGCUGAGGAGCGAAAGCGUGGGGAGCGAACAGGAUUAGAUACCCCCGUGUCCCUGUCUCUUAUACA